rnacentral:rRNA from 1 species
AGUGAACGCUGGCGGCAGGCCUAACACAUGCAAGUCGAACGGCAGCACAGUGACAGCUUGCGCUUACGGGUGUCGAGUGGCGGACCGUGCACUAAUACUUCGGAAUCUACUUUGUCGUGGGUGCUAACGCCGGGUAACUUACUCUAAUACACCAUAUGACCUACUUGUGAGAGCCGGGGAUCUUCUGACCUUGUGCGAGUGUAUAAGCCUAUGUCGGAUUAGCUAGUUGGCGGGGUAAAGGCGCACCAACGCGACCAUCGUAAGCUGGUCUGAGAGGAUGAUCAGACACACUGUAACUGAGACACGGUCCAGACUCCUACGGGAGGCAGCAGUGGGGAAUAUUGGACAAGGGGCGAAAGCCUGAUACAGCAAUACCGCGUGGGUGAAGAAGGACUUCGGGUUGUAAAGCCCUUUAGUUGGGAAAGAAGAGAAGCAGGUUAAUACCCCGCUGUAAUGACGGUACCGAGAGAAUAAGCACCGGCUAACUUCGUG